AAAUUUAAAAAAUUUGGCGGUAUUUUAGUCUAGUUAGAGGAACCUGUUUUUUAAACGAUAAAACACGCAUUAUCUUACUUAUUUUAGUAAAUCAGCUUGUAUACCGUCAUUAUAAGAUAAUUUAAGAGAGAAUAUUAUUAGAAUCAUGUUAUAUGAGUAUAUUAGAUCAAGGUGCAGCUUAUGAGUAAGUAAAAAUGGGUUACAAUAAAUUUUAUUUAUACGGAUUUAAUAUUUAAAUAUUUUAAUGAAGGAGGAUUUGAUUGUAAAAUAAAAAUUAAUAAGUUUUUUUGAUAGAAGCUCUAAAUUAUGUACAUAUCGCCCGUCGCUUUCAUUUAAGGUGAGAUAAGUCG
rnacentral:rRNA from 1 species